UACGUAGGGGGCUAGCGUUGUCCGGAAUCAUUGGGCUAAAGCGCGUGUAGGCGGCCCGGUAAGUCCGCUGUAAAAGUCAAAGGCUCAACCUUUGAAUGUCAGUGGAUACUGCCGGGCUAGAGUCCGGAAGAGGCGAGUGGAACUCCUGGUGUAGCGGUGGAAUGCGCAGAUAUCAGGAGGAACACCUAUGGCGAAGGCAGCUCGCUGGGACGUUACUGACGCUGAGACGCGAAAGCGUGGGGAGCAAACAGG
rnacentral:rRNA from 1 species